rnacentral:rRNA from 1 species
UAUGUAGGUGGCCUAGCAAGUCGGAUGUGAAAUACUUUGGCUCAACCAAAGAACUGCAUUCGAUACUGCCUGGCUUGAGUUUCGGAGAGGAGAGUGGAAUUCCCAGUGUAAGAGUGAAAUCUGUAGAUAUUGGGAGGAACACCAGUGGCGAAAGCGACUCUCUGGCCGAAAACUGACACUGAAAUACGAAAGCUAGAGGAGCAAACAGGAUUAGAUACCCUGGUAGUCC